AUCAAGCAUUGGGAGGCCCACGGCACCAUGGAAGAUGUAGUUCUCCACAGCCUCUCUCUUCUAUCAGCCAGUGUGGAGCCGUGAAGCCUACGGCGUCAGAGGAGGUGUAGAUUUCGCCGAUUUCCAUCUCCCAGCAGCUGCUGCAGGGCCCGGGAGUUCUCGUUUGCAGGGCGGCGUUGGUGGAAGCGGAAGUUGCCAUGGCAGGCCGUGCCCUUAGUGAGUGACGCCAUCAGCAGGAGGAAGAGGCAGUAUCUGACUGCUCUCCCGACUAAAGUGCAUUUUCUGCUGGAGCAUCUUCAAAAGUCUCUGAACAAAUGAAGUAAACUUACAGAGCUGAGGAAUGACAAGUCUGAGGAGCAGAGCAGCAGCUCCAGGAAGGAGGAGAGCAACAUGAAGAUGGAGUCUGAGGUUGGACCAGUUCUUUCUGGCACAGGAUAGAUGAGAGAAUGGCCAACCUGGACCAGAGACCAGGAGGAGGAGCAGCCACCCAGAGCCCAUUCAGCAGAAUGGAAACCAGACUGUGAUCUGUGGAGGGAAAACUGGUGGAGCAGAAGUUCAGCUCUGUCCCAAGAUGGCGAGCGAGACCACCCUGACCUCGAGACAGAUGUCAGGCAAGACCAUAUGAGAGGAAAGUUGCUGUUGCUGUCAGUAAAAGGCCUGAUCAAGGCCAGUGGAGCAGUCCAGAGCCCCAGCCGGAGGAGGAGCAUCUAGAGGAAGUGGACCUGCACUAUCUAGACAUUCCACUUGGUAGUGGAGCUGAGGAGUGCUCUUGUGCUGUUGGAGGAGCAGUUCCUAAUGAGAUUGGGUAGAUGAGAGAAUGGCCAACCUCUGGCGGAGACCAAAGAAGGAGUAGUCACCCUGAGCCCAUCCUUAUGGACGGAAGUCAGACGGUGAUCUGCAGAGUAAGAACAAAUGGAAAUUUGCUUAAGUUAAGUAUUAAGAGAGGGCUGUGAAGACUGUUGUCGGUGGAGAGAAUUUGUUAGUAUGGAGUGGACCCUUGAAGAAAGGCCUCUGCUUCUACUGGGACACGAUAAGCUUAAGGGAAUCCUUUGUGCCCUCUCAAGGAGUUGUCAGGUGCUAUAGAGUCUUCCUGAAGUCAGCUAGCUUUGUGGAGAGCAACUUGACUGUAACAAGAGAUGCUUGGUUCUCCAGUCUCUUCCUUCUACAUCACUGGGUGAGCUUCCCUGGUCAUGUCACUCUAGUUCUCCUGUCUGAAACAGGCUGCAUUUAGUAGAGGACGUGAGCAGGGGUCUGAGAGUAGCCCUCGGCCUGUCUUCUCCACUCACCAGGUUGCACCACCCACGGCAUGUGGAGGGUCCAGGUCUCUGCACAGCACGCUGGACUGACCUGCUCCAGCCCGAGCUCCUGGAUCCUAACCUUUGCAGUCGCUGCUCCCCGAGGGCUCGGUUGGUCCUGGAGUUGGACCCCCAUGUGGGUGACUCUUAGGGUCUGUGAGUGGUCGAAGGGCAGCAGGGAACUGAGGAGCAGCCACAGCCCCGAGACCCCAACCAGAACAAGGACAAGAUGGGGGAGCGUUGUGGCUGCCCGCAUCACUGCACCACCUAGCACAGCAGUUGACCCACCCUGCCUGGCUGUGACUUCCAGCUUCUGGCCUCUGACCUGGUGAAGGGCUGGAGCCUCUGAGGGGAGGAGUAUCAGAGGGGUAGCCAUGUUAGUCUGUAUCCACAAAAUCAACGAGGUGGCACCUUAAAGACUAACAGAUUUAUUUGGGCAUAAGCUUUCUUCAGAUGCGUGGAGUGAAAGUCUUUAAGGUGCCACCAGACUCCUUGUUGUUUUUGAGGGGAGGAGGCGGAACUUGUACUUGGGUGAGGAAGGGGCAAGGCCUCAUGGUGGAGGGGGGAAUGCAGCUGCCACAAUUUUCUGUCUACCCCAUCUCAGCACCCUCCAUGAGGAAGGGGCUGGUGCUGCCCCUGCUGGCCACAGGCUGUCACUGCUCCUCCAGGGCAGAUGCACUCUGCGCAUUACCCCAACUGGCCACCAGGUGUCAUUGCUGGUCCAAGGCAGACACCCCAUGCACUACACCAACUGGCCACCGGGUAUCACUGCAGCGCUGUGGGGGAAAAUGCUUUGUGCAUUACCUUGAGUGGCCAGGUGGUGUCACUGUUGCUCCAUGGGGUGAAAUGCUUUGUGCAUUACCCUGAGUGGCCACCCAGUGUCAUUGUUGCUCCAUGGGGAAAGUGCCACGCAAUGUCACUGUUGCUCCACCAGAGAAAUGCUUUGCUCAUUACCUGGACUGGCCAGCCAGUGUCACUUGCUCCCUGGGGAAAAUGCUCUGUGCAUAACCCUAACUUUCCACCAGGUGUCACUGUUGCUCCAGGGCAGCGGCACUCUGCGCAAUAUGCCGAGUGGCCUAUAAGAUAAAUGCGUGGUAAAGGCUGAGUACAGACGGCUGCUUCCCUUUAGGUGGGUCUUGGUUUCUAAUAAAAAAUGGAGGAAAUUCUCCUCCCCCACCCAGAAUAAAGACGAGAAUUUCCUCCAUCUUGGAAGCAGCUGAUCUUUCAGGAGAGGGAAAAGCAUGUUCACCUGAGCAGUGGCCUGGAACCAGGAAGGUGACUACAGGUGCUGAGUUUAUCCUUCUUCCUAUGUUUCUCUCUCUCUCUCCUCUCUCAUAUGUUGGCCAACCUGUGCGCUCGCGCUCUCUCUCUCCUUGUACUGUCACCUUGCAUAGAAUAUGGGCAAUGGUGCAUGCUCACAGGCUUGGUCUGGAGAGCCUGCAACCCACUGGGGCAUUGGAAGGGAGAAGAGAGUCAUGAUGGGUACUAGAUCCUCCAUUGAUAGUGGUGGGGGUGACUGUGGGAGUUGACUCUGACUCUGUUCAUAAAGUGGGGCUGAUCUACAGUGGAUGGGAAAGAGGGGGCAGCAUCUCAUACACCAAUAGAACUUUGGGCAGUGAUGGCUCCUGCUUGGGUUAUUUGCUGUGCUUGCAGGGGGAUCGUUCAGGAGCCCCAGUCAGAGGAAAGGCUGGAAGAAGUGGACCUGAGCAGCCUGGACAUCUUUCUGAGCAGAGAUGAACAGUACUCAGCUUUCUGCCUUCUCCAUGAUUGGCUCCUGCUCGGACCUUGGCAUUUCCAGUGCGGGCUGCCAUAGGCACGCUGGAUCACACAAUUUUUUUUACAUCACAAACGACUAAACCUAUGGGAAGAGAGAGCAGGCUACUCCCUUUUCCCCUUCACUUUGAACCACAUGUACCGUGCUGGAGGGGAGAUAGCCCAGGAGUUUUGCAGCUGCUCUUGCAGAGGAAUUGUCCAGGAGCCCUAGCCGGAUGAAAAUAUGGCAGAAGUGGACCUGAGCAGCUUGGGCAUCCUUCUAAGCAGACAUGAACAGUCCUCAGCUUUCUGCCUCCCGCAUAACUGGCUUACCAAGGAAAAGGAAGUUAAGCAUCAGAAUCUACUGCCCUCAUGCGAUGGAAAGUGAGUGAGAGCAGCGAGCCUGUGAUCAUUGUUGAUGCCAGCUGUUCUCACAUAGGAAUUGUGCAGGAGCCUUAGCCACAGGAGAAAUGGCAGAGGUGGACCUGAGCAGCUUCGACAUCCUUCUAAGGAGACAUAAACAGUCCUCAUGGUUCUGCCUUGUGCAUAACUGGCUGUGAGUACCAACGAAAAAGAAGUCAAGCCUCAGAAUCUACUGCCCUCAUGCGAUGGAAAGUGAGUGAGAGCAGCGAGCCUGUGACCAUUAUUGAUGCCAGACAAGAGCCCUCCAUCUGGGAGUCGAGGAGACACCGCUGUCGCUGACAUAAAUGUCUGGUUUGGUGAGGGCUCUGCUCGCGCCCCACCUGAGUCCAGAUAGAGAAGCCCUAUAAGGAACGGUGUCUCCUCCGCAGCAGAAGGUGGGAUCUAAGAGGAUGACUCCAGGUGGUGAGUUGCUUGCCUUGCUCUCAUGUUUCUCUGUCUUCUCUAGUGUGUUGGCCAACUCUCUCUUUCUCUCCUCUCCUCUUCUCUCCUUGUGCCGUCUCCCUUCACAGGACAUGGGUAGGUGUGCAUUCCCACAAGUGGGGUCUCGGGAGCCAUGGAGAAGUUGGCGCGGAUGAAAAUCAUGCAGGGCAGUGCGUGCAAGUGUGGAGCAGUGACUGUCGGUGUUAACUUGAUCUCUGUUCAUCGAGUGGGGCCAAUGCGUGGAUGAGGGCAAGAUUUCCAGCACCAGUGGAGCUUUGAAUAAUGAUGGCUCAUGCUUGGCGUUUGCAGCUACUCUCACAGAGGAAUUGUCCAGGUGCUCUAGCCAGAGGAGAAAUGGCCUAGGUUUACCUAAGCAGCUUGGACAUCCUUCUAAGCAGACAUGAAGAGUCGUCAGCUUUCUGUCUCCCGCAUAACUGGCUGUGAGUAAGCGAUCAGUGCUUUGAAUUCCUCAUCUGUGCUCGCUGCAGUAUUCUUCAGAGGCCGUGUGCUUCCUCUUUGGGUACGGGGCUCUGUGAGAUUACGGCUGAUGAGGGACCAGAGGGUUUGGGCGGAACGCCACAAUGCAGGAGAGGGGAAAAGAAUAGCCUACACGAUGUUGCCCACUGAGAUGGAUAUUGGGGUUGAGCUUCCUGUUUCAGACAUUGCUGCCUUGAUUGUGAUCUGGGAGACCAGGCUGAGCAGCUGCUGCUCCCCCAGCAGGAUCGGGGCUGGGGAGUGACCAUGAAUAAAGCUUCCUCUGUGCCCAGCCAAGAGUCGAGAACAUCAGUCUGCAGGGAAAGAGCCGGAGGAAAUUGUGAUGUGACAUUAUUGUCCUGUUCUGACACGUCCCCUUCUUGCAGUGACAGGCUGCAAUGUUACGUCCCAUCCUUCCAGGGACCAAGGAAGGGAAAUGGCUGCCGUGAGGCCAGUUCAGGUAGGGAUUAUCGGGGAUUUCCUGGUGGGCUCCUGUUGGCGGGAGAAGGGCAGUAAAGACAUAGGAGGUGGGUGUUUCUGUGGGUGGUCAGCAGGUGGGAGGGCAGGAAAUAGACAGCUGGAGAAAGGGAGGGGGACAGGAUGUGACAAACCUGCUGGGAUUUGUUUACGGUGGGGCCUAGAUUCGAGCAACAGACCCAUGGGGUUUGUGGGUGGAAAUUCCCUACUUUGUCAAGCAGGAAACACGCCCCCUGCACUGAGCUGGGGAUAUGUACCAGACUCGAAUACUGGCGUCUGAACUUAAUAGCCAGAGGGCAAGCCCCAGUGAGGCCUGGGGAAGACACCCCAUCCCUUUCCAUCCAACUGCUGGCAUGGGGGGCAGGGGUUGGGAUUCCUACCAGGGGGCUGGCUGUCCCUGGACCCUCCUGGGGGCUCUGUCUCUUGUAUCCACUUCUGGCUGGUAGGUGAGUGUUGACUGUGAAGACCCCGGCCAUCUCUGUCUGCUGGAAGGGGUUGGGGCUCUCUUUCUCCCCUCACCCUGAUGCCUCCUGGCUGCUCUGAUGGGAAGGGGGUCGGAACCUGCCUGCCUGCCUCCCAGAGCAUCCAUGUGAUUGGCCCUCCUCCCCUGUGAACGGUGGGGUUGUCACUGGGCAGCAAGUGCAGAGUGGGGGGCUCUUGCUCUUUCAGGGGCCGGUGACUUUCGAGGAGGUGGCUGUGUAUUUCACUGAGGAAGAGUGGGUUCUGCUGGACCCUACUCAGAGAGCCCUCUAUGGAGACAUUGCGCGGGAGAACUAUGAGAAUGUGACCUCGCUGGGAUUCCCAGUUUCCAAACCCGAUGUCAUCUCCCAGCUGAAACGAGGGGAAGAACCGUGAGCCCCAGAUCUCUGGGGCUCAGAGGAAAGAGAGGUCCUGAGAGGCAGCCGCGUGGGUGAUGAGAUGGUGAGAGAGACCAUGGAGCAGAAUCCUCAGUGGAAAGAUGAGCAAGUGGAACUGCAGGGGAUGUUAUUGCAAAGAUGCAAAGACUAACAUGGCUGCUACUCUGAAACCUAUAAAUGCUGUGAGUGCGGGAAAAUCUUUGCUCAGAGCUCAGGCUUUAUUACACAUCUGAGGAGCCAUACAGGAGAGAAAACCCUAUGAAUGCUGUGAGUGCGGGAAAUUCUUCCAUCACAGCUCUUCUCUUAGUUAUCACCAGAGAAGCUGCAAGGGAGAUAAACACCAUGAAAAUUUUUUCUUGGGCUCAGAAAAGAUUUUUUCCUUUUCCUAAUUCCCAAGUAGUGAACUUUAAGGCAGCACUUGUUGCAUCUCAGCUCCUUUAGGUGAG